rnacentral:rRNA from 1 species
UAGAGUUUGAUCCUGGCUCAGGACGAACGCUGGCGGCGUGCUUAACACAUGCAAGUCGAGCGGAAAGGCCCUUCGGGGUACUCGAGCGGCGAACGGGUGAGUAACACGUGAGUAAUCUGCCCCAUGCUUCGGGAUAGCCAGCCGAAAGGCUGAUUAAUACCGGAUAUGACCAUUCUUGGCAUCUUGAGUGGUGGAAAGUUUUUUCGGCGUGGGAUGUGCUCGCGGCCUAUCAGCUUGUUGGUGGGGUAAUGGCCUACCAAGGCUUCGACGGGUAGCCGGCCUGAGAGGGUUGACCGGCCACACUGGGACUGAAAACACGGCCCAAAACUCCUANGGGGNCGNNAGNCA